GCAACUGCUGUAGCGGAUGAAGUUGUUGAGACAGUGGUUGCUGCUGAAUGAAGCUGUGCUGUUGAUUUUCCCCACAUUUUGUACACAACUGAAGCAUCUUCCAGCUGACCACAAUCCCGAGAAGGACCCACCAGCAUAGGUUUGUGAAACUGAAGGCAAUACUAUUACAAUGAUCUGGGUUAUGAUUCCCAACUUCUCUUGUUUGUUCACAAUCCCGAGAAGGACCCACCAGCAUAGUUUUGUGAAACAGAAGGCAAUACUAUUACAAUAAUCUGCGUUAUGAUUCCCAACUUCUCUUAUUUGUGAUGCUUUCUGAUAUAAAUGAACCACAUAAAAACAGGGUGAGUGAUCUAGAUAAUCACAGGGUUUACCAAUCCAGCAAGCACUUCUUGAGGUUUAAUAUUCUCAUUAUUCAGACCACAUGUUGAAUAUGCAAAUUAUUUACAUGGAGAGGACAAUUGACACAUUAGAACAAAAGCAUGUCGGAACUUCUUGCCAUAUACACAUUGGUAGUAGUUAGAGUGCACGUGUACGUACAAAUAUGUGUACUAAAAUCCAGAUAAUUCCAAUCAGCAAGUCGGCCUUUAAAUGAUACAACUACUUCCUGGACAUAAAGUCCAAUAUACAGAGAAGUAAGAAUAUACACGGCCCCAGUUAAGUAAACUAUUAGUUUGUGCAAAGACUUCAUGAACAUAACCAACUAAAAUCGAGAUGGAAUUUUCCUCAAUCGCAAGGCAAAGAUUUUAAAGAUCAAUUUCC
rnacentral:lncRNA from 1 species